GCCUCCGAGCCAAACUCAGCGUGCUACCCUUCCCAGCCAAAAAAAGAAAACCCAAAUUCUCGUUCUCCUCCCGUUCCUUUUUCACUGUUCCACGCCUGAUCCAUAGAUUCAUCCACAUUCGUUGCUAGAUCCUGCCAAGGGAGGAGGACAGGGUGAGAAGGGGGAUUUGCGGUGGAGUGCGGUGGCUGCAUGCUCUCGGCGGCGGCAGGUCCUCCAGCCUGACCACACGUGCCUACUGCUCGCCGCCGCCGUCAGUUGGAUGGCCGUGGAGUUGGGCCCCUUUGAACCUGAGCGGUUCCUCUCCUCCAAAAAUUUUUCCGUCCAUGUGAAAGCGAGUGGCCACACCAAAUCCAUCCACUGGCCUGCCCGUGCAUCACUAAAGCUGGGAAGGAGAUGCUCUUGAGGCCAGAUCGGACCAAGGCUGGGGCACGCGUUCCAGCCUCAGAUUUUGCACCCCUAGCAGCGAGGUCGUGAGGCAAAGCGGUCGCAUGGGAGGCUACUGGAGAAUAUGAUAAAUCCGUUUUGCUAAGUGGCGCUGCUCUCCUAUUUGUGCCACUGGGCCGAGAGCUGUGCCGUCGGGUUCGAUAGCCUUGUUCUUCAUAGUGUUCCUCGUCGUCUAUGGCAUAGUAAGGAUGGAGAGUCCACGGGUGGAGGCGUGUUGUGGGCUUGCUACUGCUGUCAGCUUCCACCUAUGUAAUGUCCUACAACUUUGCAUCAUUACUACUUGCUGUACACUGGCUGAUUCGUCACAGGUAUGCUUCCUCCCUGUAGUUUGAUAAAAAGGUGUAUUCUUUCUAUUUGUUGGUACCAUAUAGUAUUAGCAAGUUAUAUUAAUGAUAUGUGUUUUUAAGACAAAAGAAAAAGGCUUGCAUUUAUUAACUGAAUUUGGUCCAUAUGUGUUAAUUGAUAUGCAAUAGAGUUUUCGCAUGUGUUCUAGGUGAUGCAUAUAACACUGGAGCUUUUUUCAUUGUUCUCCUCAACUGAAAAGGCUAGACAGAAGAGAUGUUACCAAGAACAUAAAACUCAUUAAAGUGCAUGUUUGAAUUUUGUAGACCUUCCAUAGUAACCAUGAAUGUAAUUAGAAAAUGCAUGCAGGGAUUAAAUAUGCAAAUUGUACAUUGAUGGCCUAUGGAAAAUAUCUGAGCCCGAAUGGAUGAACUGAUGAUUUAGAACAACUCUUACUAACCUUUCAAAUUUCAGAAUUUACGGGAAUCACUUGUCGCAUAUGUCAUCUUCUACAAAAAUACUCUGCAGACAACAAAAUAGCUAUUGUUACUUUAGGAGUACAAAAUAAUCUAUUAGACUCAUUUUGCAGCGAUAAGAAAUAGCAUAUAGCAUGUUGUACAUGAAAAAAAUUGUGCAAUAGAAUUGUAGCGUGGCCUUUCACUUAUAUUAGACACUCAAAAACUAUAGUUAGUGUCAUAGAAACAUAGACUGAUUGGAACAUAUCUAGUAGAAUAUAGCCUUCAGGUGCAUAACUGAAACAACAUGCAACAGUACGAUUGUCUCUGACCACCCGGAUAAAUGUAUAAUAGUCCUUCCAUAGUAACCAUGAAUGUAAUUAGAAUUAUUUCACAAAAAAAUGAAUGUAAUUAGAAAAUGCAUGCAGGGAUCAAAUAUGCAAAUUGUACAUUGGUGACCUAUGGAAAAUCUUAACUCGAAUGGAUGAACUGAUUACUGAGAUCAACUCUUACUAACCAUUCAAAUUUCAGAAUUAAUGGAAAUCACUUGAAUUUAUAAGGAUUCACACACAUAUCAUCUUCUAGGAAAAAUCUGCAUACAAUAUAAUACUAUUGUUACUUAAUGACUACAAAAGUAAUCUAUUAUGUUCAUUUUUCAACGAUAAGAUUUGCAUAUAGCAUCUUGUAUAUCAUAAAAAUUCUGCAAACAAUAGUAGCUGCUGUUACUAACACAUCGUAUAAUAUGUAAUCUGUUAUAUCCUAAAUUCAGGACCUUUACGCAUUAGUCCUAAGGAUAGCAGUUAGCUUGUAUACAUAAAUUUAUCCUUUAUCAAACUGUAAAUCUAAUAUGCACAAUGAUCUGGAAAAAAAUACCAUUGGAUUUGGAUAUACAUGUCUUUAUACAUUUUGUCAAACACUUGGCAAGCAUGUCCAAAUUCUAACUAAAUGUUAGACAGAGGAGGGCUAGGAGUUGAUUAAAUCUAGAAAGAGGAUAGGGCCAUGUUUCAAACAUUUCUGUUAUUACGCCAAGUAAUACCUGCAUCUGGGGGUCGAUUUGGUUCUCUUUAUGCCACUUGUAAGUCACAUCUUUGGUGGUCAUCUUACUAUGCUUGUAGACCAUGUUGAUCUAUCCUCUUGCAGACAGUCCUACAUGCCUUGAUCGACCUAUGCAUGACACAACUCCAAGAUAGCACGAUAGCAUUCUUCCUGCUUUGCGACAUGAUUCUUGUCAAGUGUUUCCUAUGGACAGGAACAGGAUGAUGAGACGCGACUGGUUGCUGCUCGGGAGGCGGAAUCUUCAAAACCUAACCGAUUGAGGAGAAGAUCUUGUGGAGACUGGACACAGAAGGCAUGGCUUCGAGGUUUCAAUGGCGCUGUAGGAUGUGAGCUGCAGCCACACAGGACAGGAUGAAUAGUGCGGCCCUAGAGUAGACCAUCAGAAACCCUAGAACUGGGCUGCUCGAGAGGCAUAGUUUUGGCGUUUCGGUGGAUCUAUAGGAGGUGAGCUUUAGUUCCACAGGAGGAAUAGCUCGGCCCUAGGGCAAACCAUCAGAAACCCUAAAACCUGGGCAGACCAUCAGAAACGCUAAAACAUGGACUGCUCGAGAGGCAUAUGUCUUUGAGGUUCCGAUAGAGAUGUAGGACGUGAAUCAGAAUCAGCUUCUAGAGCGUACAUCUCUUUUGUAUGCAACGUGUCAGGAUUUUUUUUUUACCAUAUUGAUGCAUGUACGUGAACCUUUUUUUGAAGUGGCCCGUACGUCAACCUAACUCUUCCUACCUUUUUUUA